rnacentral:rRNA from 1 species
GAUGAACGCUGGCGGCGUGCCUAAUACAUGCAAGUCGAGCGAACAGACGAGGAGCUUGCUCCUCUGACGUUAGCGGCGGACGGGUGAGUAACACGUGGAUAACCUACCUAUAAGACUGGGAUAACUUCGGGAAACCGGAGCUAAUACCGGAUAAUAUAUUGAACCGCAUGGUUCAAUAGUGAAAGACGGUUUUGCUGUCACUUAUAGAUGGAUCCGCGCCGCAUUAGCUAGUUGGUAAGGUAACGGCUUACCAAGGCAACGAUGCGUAGCCGACCUGAGAGGGUGAAUGGCCACACUGGAACUUAGACACGGGCCCGACUCCCAAGGGAGGCAGCAGUAGGGAAUCUUUCGCAAUGGGCGAAAGCCUGACGGAGCAACGCCGCGGGAGGGAUGAAGGGCUUCGGAUCGUAAAACUCUGUUAUUAGGGAAGAACAAAUGUGUAAGUAACUAUGCACGUCUUGACGGUACCUAAUCAGAAAGCCACGGCUAACUACGUG